AGAACUGCCCUCCCAGUCCAUCAUUAAGGAGCACAGCCCGCUGCAGGAGGGGGCCUCUCACCGGAAGGGAACACGGUUUUACUUCCUGAGUGGUGGUCUGCAAUCCUCCUCUCCACAGAUAGCCUGUGAGGAAGAGCACUUGGUCUGUCCCUGCGGCAAUGCCUGCUGAACCCAGCAGUGCUUCCCCACCCCUGCUGAUAGCCGGUUUGGGCUGGCUUCAUCUUGGUGUUAGUAAUGAGAUAUGAAAUGCCAUCCGCUUCCCAAAAUUUCUGCAGAAGCUUGAGCACUUCUAUAGAUACCAACUGUAACCUGGCAUAUCAGGGACAAAUAUUCCAAGAGCAUGAAGAAUGGGCAAUUUACAAAUGGAAACAUGGAUACAUAAUGAUUUCAGUUGGUGUCUCUCUACUUCAGAUGACCAACUUCCAGUAAAGAGCAGAAAGUAUUUUCUUUGAAGAGGCUGAGAAAGCAUUAAAUACUGAAAUGAACAAGGAGUUUGGGGUCAGAAGUCUAAUAGUAGUGAGCAGAAACUCAUCUAAGAAGGAAAAGAGUGAUUCUCAAGAUGAUUUGUCCUGCAGUCAUUCCCAAGAGGUUCCACAAAUAAAAUCAUACAGAUUUUGUUUUUCUGUCUGACUUAUUUGACUUAGAGUAACACCCUCUAGGCCCACCACCUUGUCACAAAUGGCAAUUUCAUCUUCUCCCUGACCGUCAGCACGAUCUGUGAGGAGAUAAUUUGCCAGUCUGUGGCUCUGGACUCAACCCUGUCUCUGGGGCAUACCCAACACGUGCACUUAGAUGUCUCAGAAACUCCUCAGAUUCAGUGUUGCCAAGAUCACAGGCAUAAACUCCAUGAGGGCAGACUGUGCUUAUAAUUGCUUCUCAUUUACUUCCCAAGAUAAGAUCCUGC